rnacentral:tRNA from 1 species
GUUGAUAUAGCUCAGUUGGGAGAGCGCUAGACUGAAGAUCUAGAGGUCCCCAGUUCGAUCCUGGGUGUCGACA